UACGUAGGGGCCUAGCGUUGUCCGGAAUUAUUGGGCGUAAAGAGCUCGUAGGCGGUUCGGCAAGUCGGAUGUGAAAUCUCCACGCUUAACGUGGAGGGCCAUUCGAAACUGCUGUGACUCGAGUCCGGUAGGGAGUGUGGAAUUCCCGGUGUAGCGGUGAAAUGCGCAGAUAUCGAGGAGAACACCGGUGGACGAAGGCGGUUCUGCUGGGCGAUUACCUGACGGCUGAGGAAGCGAAAGGUGUCGG
rnacentral:rRNA from 1 species